rnacentral:rRNA from 1 species
AUUGAACGCUGGCGGAAUGCUUUACACAUGCAAGUCGAACGGCAGCACGGGAGCUUGCUCCUGGUGGCGAGUGGCGAACGGGUGAGUAAUGCGUCGGAACGUGCCGAGUAAUGGGGGAUAACGCAGCGAAAGUUGUGCUAAUACCGCAUACGCCCUGAGGGGGAAAGUGGGGGAUCGCAAGACCUCACGUUAUUCGAGCGGCCGACGUCUGAUUAGCUAGUUGGUGGGGUAAAGGCCUACCAAGGCGACGAUCAGUAGCGGGUCUGAGAGGAUGAUCCGCCACACUGGGACUGAGACACGGCCCAGACUCCUACGGGAGGCAGCAGUGGGGAAUUUUGGACAAUGGGCGCAAGCCUGAUCCAGCCAUGCCGCGUGCGGGAAGAAGGCCUCGG